GUACACUCCUGCGGGAGGCAGCAGUGGGGAAUUUUGGACAAUGGGCGAAAGCCUGAUCCAGCCAUGCCGCGUGCAGGAUGAAGGCCUUCGGGUUGUAAACUGCUUUUGUACGGAACGAAACGGCCUUUUCUAAUAAAGAGGGCUAAUGACGGUACCGUAAGAAUAAGCACCGGCUAACUACGUGCCAGCAGCCGCGGUAAUACGUAGGGUGCAAGCGUUAAUCGGAAUUACUGGGCGUAAAGCGUGCGCAGGCGGUUAUGUAAGACAGUUGUGAAAUCCCCGGGCUCAACCUGGGAACUGCAUCUGUGACUGCAUAGCUAGAGUACGGUAGAGGGGGAUGGAAUUCCGCGUGUAGCAGUGAAAUGCGUAGAUAUGCGGAGGAACACCGAUGGCGAAGGCAAUCCCCUGGACCUGUACUGACGCUCAUGCACGAAAGCGUGGGGAGCAAACAUGAUUAGAAACCCUAGUAGUCCCAUG
rnacentral:rRNA from 1 species